CGGGUGAGGAACACGUGAAGAAUCUGCCCUCCACUUUGGGAUAACUCCGGGAAACCGGGGCUAAUACCGAAUAUUGAAACAUAAGUGGCAUCACUGAGUUUUGAAAGAAUUUCGGUGGAGGAUGACUUCGCGGCCUAUCAGCUUGUUGGUGAGGUAAUGGCUCACCAAGGCGACGACGGGUAGCCGGCCUGAGAGGGCGACCGGCCACACUGGGACUGAGACACGGCCCAGACUCCUACGGGAGGCAGCAGUGGGGAAUAUUGGGCAAUGGACGAAAGUCUGACCCAGCGACGCCGCGUGCGGGAUGAAGGCCUUCGGGUUGUAAACCGCUUUCAGCAGGGAAGAAGCGAAAGUGACGGUACCUGCAAAAGAAGCACCGGCUAACUAUGUGCCAGCAGCCGCGGUAAUACAUAGGGUGCAAGCGUUGUCCGGAAUUAUUGGGCGUAAAGAGCUCGUAGGUCGUUAAUUACGUCGGGUGUGAAAAUCUGGGGCUCAACCCCAGACCUGCACUCGAUACGGGUUAGCUAGAGUUUGGUAGGGGAGACUGGAAUUCCUGGUGUAGCGGUGGAAUGCGCAGAUAUCAGGAGGAACACCAAUGGCGAAGGCAGGUCUCUGGGCCAAUACUGACACUGAGGAGCGAAAGCGCGGGGAGCGAACAGGAUUAGAUACCCUGGUAGUCCGCGCCGUAAACGGUGGGCGCUAGUUGUGGGAACCUUCCACGGUUUCUGCGACGCAGCUAACGCAUUAAGC
rnacentral:rRNA from 1 species